rnacentral:misc_RNA from 1 species
UCAAAACUCCAAGAAGGCUCAUUAGAUUCAACACCGACAUGUUCACUGUGGCUUCCUUUAGCAUGGGGUGAGACAUCAUUGAUACCAAACUCCGUAGAGUGAGAUGGACUUUCAAAAACAUUUCUUCCAGGGCUUCCUGAAGGACUCCUUCCUAAUCCUUCUUCACCCUGGUCAUAGGCUGAUUCAGUUUCAUUUAUCUGGUCACCAAUACUAUAAAGCUUCCCCUUCUUGUCAGCAACCGGAGAAAACUCAUCCGACACUUUAUCACUCCAAGACGAGGGAGACUUAGGUUUUACAGUGGACACAUCAUCAUCAAAAUCAACUGUAAAAUCCUUCACAAUCGCAAAUCCUUCAUCUUCAAAUUUAUCCCAGUCUUCAUUCCACUCAGCCGCUCCUUCUUGUAUGCCAGGUUGCCAACCAAAUGGGAGCUCGAUCAUUGCAGCUGGCUUAACAUGCAAUCCAAAGUGUUUGGAUCGUUCAUUCAAUGCUUUCAUUAGCUCCUCCAAAUCAGAUUGUAUUCGAUCAGCCCGAACCUGAAGCAAGCCAUCAGCACUUCCACCUUGUUGCAUUUUGACUAUUGCG